UUCUUCAAUGAAAUCGCCCAUCGUAGUCAGUUGCAUUCUUUCGGAUCAAUUAGAUCUAUCGAAUAAAUGCAUCUACACUUCGGUGGACGAUUUGAAGA
rnacentral:pre_miRNA from 1 species